UCCGAGUUGACCCCGGCAGUCUGGCAUGAGUGGUACAACAUGCCACGGGGGUUGCGCUCGUUGCGGGACUUAACCCAACAUCUCACGACACGAGCUGACGACAGCCAUGCAACACCUGCACACCGAUCCCUUGCGGGAGGACGACGUUUCCGCCGUUUUCCGGUGCAUGUCAAGCCCUGGUAAGGUUUUUCGCGUACCGACGAAUUAAACCACAUGCUCCGCUGCUUGUGCGGGCCCCCGUCAAUACCUUUGAGUUUUAGCCUUGCGGCCGUACUCCCCAGGCGGGGUGCUUAAUGCGUUAGCUUCGGCACGGAUGGAGUCGACACCACCCACACCUAGCACCCAUCGUUUACGGCGUGGACUAC
rnacentral:misc_RNA from 1 species